CUAGAAGUCGACGACGCGUCCCGCUGCUGUGCCAGUACCUAGAGGCCUCCGCCGCCGCUUCGCGGAGUUCCUGUGGCUACCACCGCGCGGAGUAUGGGGCGCUGAUGGCCAUGGAGGGCUACAGGGGCUUCCUGGGGCUGCUGGUGUCGGCGCUGCUCGUCGGCUUCCUGUCUGUGAUCUUCACCCUCAUUUGGGUCCUCCACUACCGGGAGGGGCUCGGCUGGGACGGGACCGCGCUCGAGUUUAACUGGCACCCUGUACUCGUGGUCACCGGCUUCGUCUUCAUCCAGGGCAUCGCCAUCAUCGUAUACAGACUGCCAUGGACCUGGAAAUGCAGCAAGCUCCUGAUGAAAUCCAUCCAUGCAGGGUUAAACACUGUUGCUGCCAUUCUUGCAAUUAUUUCUCUGGUGGCUGUUUUUGAUUUCCACAAUGCCAGGAACAUCCCCAAUAUGUAUAGUCUGCACAGCUGGGUUGGACUGACAGCUGUCAUUCUCUACAUCUUACAGCUUCUCCUAGGGUUUUUUGUCUUUCUGCUUCCUUGGGCUCCACUUUCUCUCCGAGCACUUCUCAUGCCCAUACAUGUUUAUUCUGGACUUCUCGUCUUUGGAACAGUGAUUGCAACAGUACUUAUGGGAGUGACGGAGAAACUGAUUUUUGCCCUGAAAAAUCCUGCAUACAGUACAUUCCCACCAGAAGGUGUUUUCACAAAUACCCUCGGCCUUCUGAUUCUGGUGUUUGGGGCGCUCAUUUUUUGGAUAGUCACCAGACCACAAUGGAAACGUCCUAAAGAACCAAAUUCUGUCCUUCUUCAGCCAAACGGAGGCGCUCCAGAGGGAAUGGAAGGUUCCAUGGCAAUGAACUUUGGCAAUAUGGACAAAUCAGAUUCAGAGUUAAACAGUGAAGCAGAAGCAAGGAAAAGAAACAUCACCCUUGAUGAGGCUGGACAGAGAUCCACCAUGUAAAAUGGGCUAGAGAUGUAGCCAUAUAACUUCCAUUAGUUCUACAGUUUAGCUUCUCUUAUUUAGCCGUAAGAUGAUUGAGCUCCACAGACUCAAUAUUUAUUCUAAUCGUAAAGUAGGAUUUCUUGAAAGCAUUUGUAUUGGUUGAGGCCUAUGAACUUACCUGAAUUGGAAGGGAGAUGAUCAAUGUAAAUAACAGCAGGUGUAAACUGUGGUUAAUUACCUUGUUCUUGAGGACCAAAGCAUUUAGCACAGUGCCUUGCAUAGAACAGAUGAUCAAAAUGUAUCUGUUGGUUGGUAAAUUUGAUAAACUGGCAGCUUCCCUGGCCUCUUGUCAUGCAGUCAUUUUCUGUUAAUUCUGGGAGUCCAGUUGUAAAGUUUUGGAAUCAGAUCAUGCAUAUGUGGGACAGGGUUAAUGCUACACAGAUGUCAUGACUAGAGCACAGAAAAAAAUUUAGGAAAGUAACUGGUUCCCUUUUCACUGUGCCUACCCUUUGCUCCCUCCCCAGCUGGUUUAUCCUUAGUUUGGCCCUGGAGACCAGGGUUUAUAUUAGGGCAUUUUGGAGCAGUGAUAGGGCUGUAGGUAGCUGAAGAUCUUGCCGGUCGGACCUGGAAGUUUUUCCAAAACUGACUUAAUCCCAAGACUUCCUUGGGUUUGGUAUACUUUAUGAUCCAGAUUCUAAACUUAAUUAGGAUGAAUAUGCCUGAAUGCUUAAGCAGUAUAAACUACUCCACAAACCUUAAAGAGCACUUUUCCCCAAGUUUCUGGGUUUUUUAAACAUGGAACUUACUAAGUGUCAGACACUAUUCUAAGCACUUUAUAAAUCUUAGCUAAUUCAACCCCCAGACAAAACUUUUGCGGUAGGCACCAUUAAAAGCUCCAUUUUACAGAUGAGAGAUCUGAGGCUUGGAGAGGUUAGUAACUUGCCCAAGGUCACACAUCUCAUAAGUGGUGAAACUGAGAUUCAAAACCUGGCAGUUUGGCACCUCAGUUCAGUCCAUGAUCCUAACAACCUCACUAUGCUGUUUUUUCUGUUACAUGCUAAUUUAUACCUGUUUUCACCCACCCGUGGAUAAACCUCAUUUGGUGGAAUGCAGUAGAGUUGUUAAAAUUUACCUUCUGGCUCUGUUUCCAAGGCAGAUUUCCCAAAUAACCAAGGAGAAAGGCCUACCCUUACCUGGAAAUUCAUCAUGGGCACCCUGCCACGGCCAACAAGCCAUGGCUUACCUUGAUGCCCCUUUGAUCUUAAAUCUGUCUUGGUAGCAAAGAAAGGUUUAGGCAACAAUAUCGCUGCUGAACAGCUUUGGGUUUGGAGAUAGGAGAGAUGGACUUCAUGGUCUGCCCUUCCCCAGGGGCAAAAGCUAGGGUCCCUCCUGAUUUGGGUGGAAUUUUAGGGGACAUCUUGUGCUUUGGUUCUCAGUAGCGAAUUAAGACUCAGAGAAGACAGUUUUCAUGCAUGAGGCCUCUGUCUAGGCUCUGGGCUGACUUAAAUUAAAACCUAGAGUGGCACCUAUGCUGAAAUGUUGCUUUUCGUUUGGGAUUGAUUUUUGGUUUCCCUGCAAUUUUAAACCAUACAGUUUACACCAAAUAAACUUAACAUUUUUGGUGCUUAGUGAAUUUCCUUUUAGGGUAACUGGUAAUUACUUCCAUAGACUGAGUACAAACUAUAUUCUGUCACAUCCCUGAAGCUUCACAAUAUCCAUUCAAAAGUCCCUCACCAAAACACUGUUUUCUUAAUUCUGUUUCCAAAAUUGGCAAUAGUGUCAUAAGAAUCCCUAGUGCCCAGCCCAAUGCCUGGCACGUAGUAGACACAUAAAUUCAGUAUAAGUAGAGCAUGCUACAGUUAGGGUGCUAAGUGGAAGGAAUAGUUGCAUUGUCACACACAAACAUAUUUUGGUGAAUGGAUAUUUCAUUACAUAGAGGUGCACAAAAUUCCAGGGCUUUUUAGGGGGAAGGGAAUAGUGGCAGCCCCAAGGAUUGAAGCUGCCAUUCCAUUUCAUAUAGGCCAAGAAAGAGGUUAUUAGUUAAAAGUUAAUUAUAGAUUUGGCACUAGACUAUUCUGCUCCAUUGAGAAGUAUCUGAACACCCCUCAUCUCAGCCCUUUAUUUUAUCCCUCUUGUGGGCUAAUGUGAGGGUAAUCUUACAGAUAUUAUAGGAACUUCUUCUCUUUCUUUCUCAACCUUUAUGAAAACAAUGCAUAGUCAAAUAUAUCUAGAAAACCUUUCUGUUUGAGACUCUUCUUUUAAUGGGCUUUUUAUUCUAAUGAUAAUUGUACCUUUAUCUUUCAAAAGCUGGUUUGUCCUGCCUAAAGCAUCUCCCCCCAAAAUUUCUCUUUAAAAAGCCCACAAAAAGAACAGGGGAGAAGAAAGCCUUAGGUAUCAGUUCUAAAACAGUGAUUGAAAUCUUCCCAAAUAAUUAUGGCUUAUGUCACCUGCAGAGAUAGUCUGGCUUGGCUUACCCCAUAAUCUAAUUUCAGAAAAAAAACGCUUUAACAUUCAUCUAAAUCAACACUAAAGCCUUUUGUCUCAAAGGGUUUAUUGAGAAACUCAGAUGAAUAUACUUUUUGAAUUAAUGUUAUCAAAAGUGUACAGCUUCCUGUGCACCUUGUGUCAAACUGAAUCCACCCUCCAAAUCACCUUCUUCCCUUUCCUCUCGUGGUUUCAUUUAAGCUGUGUGGGUUGGAAACAGCAUCUCAGAGCUUACGAUCAAAUGACAAAAAAGGUAAUUGUACUUUUUAAGGAAUACUGACAAGUGGUUUCUGUUUUCUAAAGCAGGGGUCCCCAACCCCUGGGCCGAGGACCAGUACCAGUCCACAGCCUGUUAGGAACUGGGCUGCACGGCAGGAGGUGAGCGGCAGGCGAGUGAGCGAGCGAAGCGUAAUCUGCCACUCCCCAUCGCUCACAUUACUGCCUGAAUCAUCACCGCCCCACUUCCAUGUAAAAAUUGUCUUCCACAAAAUCGGUCCCUGGUGCCAAAAAGGUUGGGGACUGCUUUUCUAAAGGACAAAAAUUAAGAGGGUGCCUUGUUUUUAAUUAGGGUCUUUUCCCUGCUGAGUUGGAAAUUCCAGUGCAAUACCGGUUGACUACAACUGCCAAAUCUGAAAGCCCAAAGUAAAGUUUUUUGCUAAUUUUAUUGCAACAUGAUGGAAUUUUUAUCUUUGUAUGUCCUUUUUUAGGUAACUCUGACAGAAAGCUGUAACUGCUAUGUCUUAGAGCUACACAUAGGAAAGUAGAAGAAAAACUAUUCUUUAUCCCCUACAAGUUGAGCCAUUAUGCUAUUGAGGAAGGUUAGACUAGACCACCUGAAGGCUACCCAAAGAGAGACCUUGGAGGGUGAGAAGUCACCUUGGAUGUUCAAGCUUCAGAUGAGCUCAGAUGCAUGAGAGAUUCCAGUAUGCGGGCCUCUCACUGUUGUGGCCUCUCCCGUUGCGGAGCACAGGCUCCGGACACGCAGACUCAGCGGCCAUGGCUCACGGGCCCAGCCGCUCCGUGGCAUGUGGGAUCUUCCCGGACCGGGGCACGAACCCGUGUCCCCUGCAUCGGCAGGCAGACUCUCAACCACUGCGCCACCAGGGAAGCCCUGUUGUUGUUGUUUUUAAUUGAAGUAUAGUUUAUUUACAAUGUUGUGUUAGUAUCUGGUGUACAGCAGUGAUUCAGUUAUUCAUAUAUAUAUCACGGGAUGUUGAAUAUAGUUCCAUGUGCUAUAAAAUAGGACCUUGUUGUUCAACAUUUUCAAACAUACAGAGAAGUUGAAGAAUUACAGAGUGAACAACAUUCACAUACCUACCACCUAGAGUCUAUAAUUAACAAUUGCUAUAUUAGCUUUAUCAUAUUUCUAUGUAUCCAUCCCUUUAUUCAUCAAAUACUCAAUCUUAAAUUUUUAUACAUUUCAAAAUGUUGCAAACAUCAGUAAAUUGGUGUGGGGGACAUUCUUAGUUUGUUCACUAUCAUAAAGGGAAAGUAUUCAGUAUUUUAUCGUUAAAUAUAUCAUGUAUGACCUUCAUCCAGUUGAUGAACUUUAAUUUGCUGAAUUUUUUUUGGAAGUCAUGAGUGAAAUUGUUAAAUUGUGUCAAAUGAUUCUUCUGCAUCAACUGAAAUAAUCAUAUUACUUUUCUCCUUAAUUCUGUUAACAUGGUGAAAUACAUUGAUGAAUUUAUGAAUAUUGAACCAACUUUGCAUUCUCGUCAUCUGUAUUACAACUAGAUAUAUUAUAAACCCACAAUAUAGUGUUAAAAGUUUUGCUUUAUAUAAUCAUAAGUAUUUUAAAGAAAUGAAGACAUACUACACUCAUGUUGUUCAGACCAUAUUUCAAAUUAAAAAUCUUCUUACAAAAAAAAAAAGAAAGAAAUGCAGAAGUAAAAAAAUAACCUUUUAAAACUUACCCACAUAUUUUCUUUUCCAGUGUUCUUCAUCCCUUCCUGAAGUCUGUUUCCAUCUGGCAUCAUUUAUCCUCAUCCUGAAGAACUUCCUUUGAGCACAGGCUCCGGAUGCGUAGGCUCAGUGGCCAUGGCUCACGGGCCCAGCCACUCUGCGGCAUGUGAGAUCUUCCCAGACCGGGGCACGAACCCGUGUCCCCUGCUUCGGCAGGUGGACUCUCAACCACUGCGCCACCAGGGAAGCCCUUUCAGGUCUUCAGAUUGGGAGAAGCUGCACACAGGGGACGGGACCCAAGGAGCCUCAGCCACCCCUGGCCCUGAUGUACGUGUCCAGAUCAUGGACCUCAAGCCUGAUGCUACCGUAGGUACAAAGUUUUAGGGAUCUAGAGAGAGGUGAGUAAGUAUAUCUUACAUGUAGGGGGAAAUGUAAAUAAUUCAUGUUCAAUGGGCAGAUUGUGAGGUCUUAAAACAUGUCCACAAAUUCUUUGAUAUUCUUGACAACAAAAGAUGCAGCCUAAUUCCCCUUCCCUUGGAAGUGGCUGGCCUCAGUGACUUGCUUCUAACAAGUAGGACGUGGCAGAAGCAAUCCUGUAUGACUUCUCAGAUGAUCACAAAAGAAGAGGCAGCUUUUGCCUUGUUUCUUUUCUCUUGGCAUGUUUGCCUUUGGAAUCCAGCCACCACUGUGGUAGGUGGCCAAGCAGCCAGAGGGAAGGGCCCUGUGGAGGUGUUCUGGCCACAGCCCAGCUGCUGUCCUGGCUCCCAGCCAGCAUCACCUGGCAACCUGUGAGUAAGCGAAUUUGCAGAUGGUCCCAGCCACCAGUCUCAAGCCACCCCAGAUAUGCCCUGGGAAGCAAAGACAAAUUGUCCCUGCCAAGCCCUGCCCAAAUUACAAAUUCAUGAGAAAAAUAAAUGCAGUCAUUGUUUUAAGGCAUUAAGUUUUGGGGUGGUUUGUCACGUGGCAAGAGAUAAUGGGAUGUUGAUGGGUAAAUGGUUACUAGAAAUAUCCACAUAUGUAAAUACAACCUUGUAACAGUUACAAGAUUUUAGGCAUUAUAAACUACAAUUUCUUUAUGGUCCUCAGCUCUAUCACCUACUAAUUGUGAGACCUUUAGUAAGUCAGUCUCCUGAGCAUCAGUUUCUGCAACUGUAAAAUGGAGAUGAAAAUACUUGUCUUAAAAAAUCAUUUAUGAAGAUUAUAUAGCAACAAAGUAAAUGAUAUGUUAUUAUAGGUUAUAAAGCUAGAUUCAAAUGAUUGCAACUGUAAAAAUGUGCAGAUGAGAAAUAGAUGGAUUCGGUUAGUAGGCUUAAAAGUCAUUUUUCCUUCCAUUUUCCAAAUUUCCAUAAGAUUAUUUACUUCAGUAAUAAUAAUUAAAAAAAAAAGUAUUUUCAAAAAUCCCACUGUGCACUCCCAGCCCAAACCAGGGAGUCAGUCAGUGGUUAUUUCUUCUCAACCUCCCUGACAGUUAAAUCAGGUAAAUGGUUAGGAAGAGGAACGGACAAAAUGGCUUCUCGUCUCUUAGAGUUUGGGGGUCAAUAGAGGAUUGACUCCAGAACCCAGAUUUCUUACCUCCCCAGUUAGCGUGCCAUUUCUUCCACCUGUAACCUCAGUACUACUUUAAUCUAUGUGGGCUAAGCAUUAGAACCAAUGCCACAUGAGAUGCCCUGUAUUUAACCAGCAGUCCCAACCAUCUGAGCUUAGAGGCAUGUAAUCCAAUGAUCAGGGGAGCCUGUCAAAAUGAAUAUGGUGGGGGCUUCCCUGGUGGUGCAGUGGUUAAGAAUCCACCUGCCAAUGCAGGGGACACGGGUUCAAUCCCUGGUCUGGGAAGAUCCCAUAUGCCGCGGGGCAAGUAAGCCUGUGCACCACAACUACCGAGCCUGCGCUCUAGACCCCGCAGGCCACAACUACUGAAGCCCCUGGGCUUAGAACCCGGGCUCUGCAACAAGAGAAGCCACCACAGUGAGAAGCUCGUGUACCGCAAUGAAAACCCAACACAGCCAAAAAUAAAUAAAUUAAAUUUAAAAAACAACAACAACAAAAAAAACCAGAUGAGUUAAUUGGGUAGGAAACACUUGUAAAAAAAAAAAAAUGCAUAUGGUGGAGUCUGCCUCCACCAUAUAAUACCUGGGGUCUUUGCAUAUUAAGUAAUGAUUCUGAGAGAAAAUCAUCCUGAAUUACAAGGGUGCACCCUAAAUCCAAUGACACAGACAGAGAGCACAAGGACAUGUGAAGGUGGGUUUAAACAGAGGCUGGAGUUAUGUAGCCACAAACCAAGAAACGUCUAGAGCCACUAGACGCUGGAAGAGGCAGGGAACGGAUUCUCCCUUAGACCCCAGAGGGAGGACAACCCUGAGGACACCUUGAUUACAGCUUCUAGCUCUCAGAACUGUGAGAGAAUAAAUUUCUGUUAUUUUAAGACACCAAGUUUGUGGUAAUUUGUUAUGGUAGCCCUAGGAAAGUAAUGCAAUAGAUGAAUCUCACAAAUCAUAACAUUGAAGGAAAAAAGAUUCAAGUUACAGGAGAAAAACCAUUGAAAUGAAGUUUUUAAAACACGAAAACUGAUGCUUUAUAAUACUUACAGAUACAUAUAUAUUGACAAAACCAUAAAGAAGCAAAUGGGAAUGACAAACACCAAAUUUAGGGGAGUGGAAAGUGUGAAGUGAUGGGAAGGAAGGGAACACAAUGGAGUUUCACAGAGGGCUUCACCUGUACCGAUAACAUUGUGUUUCUUAAGCUGAGUAUUGUGGUCAGGCAUGAUCAAUUUCAUAUUUUUAUGUUGUUGUGUACGACUGAACUAUUUAAUAAUAAUUAAAUUUUAAAUAAAAUUUAAAAGGAAAAACGACAAGAAGGAAAGUCGGUGAUGGCACCUUGAAGGCGGGAGCUUCCUUCUUGGAUAACACAUGACCUUUCCAAUGUCAGCCAGGACAUGAUUUGGUGCAUAUGUACCUUCAGAUACUUAAUAAAUGGAUGAAAAUCACUUCGUUAAUAUUCAGUGUUCUCAUGUCGUUUAUAAAUAAUUCCAACAGUAACCUUUUUCCCUGGGAAAACACCUGUACAGUGUCGACUCUGAUUACUCCCUGUGGAUAUUGUUUAGCUAAAAAUUAAUAUAUCAUACUUUCUAGAAUGACAGACUGUGGACUGGAAUAAGAGAAAACAGUAAUUUAUAAGAUGGAGUAAUUAUUGGAGGAUCCAGGUACUAUUUACUUUCUUCUUUGUUCUCAAGCCAACAAAAUUAUUGAGUCCAUGUUCCGAGUCCUUUAUUGACCUCAAUCUUAGGUUGUCUAUCAUAAAACAAUAGUGUAGUGGAUUAAUAACCACCACAAAUCCAUAAUAAACCACACAGGCCCUUUGUCUUCCAAGGUAAUAAGUGAACUCAGCUGAAGCAUUAUCAAAGUGUCACUGACUAGCUGGGCUGUGGAGCCCUUGCUCCUUGGGUGGCUGAGGCCGCCUCCCUGGCUGUGCUAUCUGGACUGUCCACGAGGUGGCAGCAACUGCACGGCUGUCAACAAGCAGCCUCCAAGGGCAACCAAGGCCGCCAUUGACUUCCUCACCACCAACAGGGCGGUUGUAGUUUGUCAGAUUUGGUUGUUUCUUUUAGUGCUGAGAUUUAGAAAAGCAUUGUGACCAUUUCCAAUUAAAAAUUAUUCAGGUUUAAUCACAAGUAACAUAAACAAUAGUUUGAUAUCUAGUAUAAACAGCCUCACCUUGUUUUCUUUCCUUUUUUUUCUUUUUCUCAAUAUACUUGGUGAAAUGCUUUACUAUUUUAAAACCACGCCUACUUCCCAAAGUGUACCAGUCAUGUGAAUAAUUUCACAUAAUAAGACAUACAGUUAUAUUGUGAAGGUACAGUGGAAGUCAACAGCUAAAAUAUUCAGAGAAAGAGUCUUUCAAACAAUUUGCAUUUUACAAAGGGCAGAAUCAUUUGACAGCAGGUAAAUUACAGCUGGUUCCAGUGGCCUCUUCUUGUAGGACACUAUUGCUAAAAUCCAGAUUCAGCUAGGAAAUGUCACACCAAGUCUCUAGCUUUCUUACUCAGUCUUACAUUGCCAGAUCCGGAAGCUCUGAA